CAGGUCCACUCUCCACUCUCAACUAGUGGCCAGAAUCUUUCCUUUCUUUUUUUUUUACAUUUUUUUUUCCCCCAACCACUUUUUUUGGCAUGGCCCGGGGCCAUGGACUUUGGGGCCUCAAACGGGUCUUUUUUUUUUUUUUUUCUUUUUUUUUAAAUUUUUUUUAAUUAAAAUUUAUUAAAAAAUUUAUCCUUCCUUAAAUAAUUUUUCCAAAUUUUAAAAUUAUUACCCAUUUAAAAAUUUAUUAAUUUUGGUUUUCCCACCACCUGGAUUUAAAAUUAAAUUUUUAAAAAAACAAACCAUUUAAUUCCGAAAUAUUACCGCACCCCACCUAGUAAAUGGUUUCAAACGCGUCUUUUUGAAACUGGUGUUCAGAGGUUAACAAAAGCACUUUCUGUAAGAAGUAAUUUUUUCAAAAAUCAUAUCCAACGCACUUUGCUAGUUUGCUUUCUUUGCCUAUAUUAACACCAUCUAGAAAGCCAUCGUCUUCAACUUGCUCCUGUCUAUGGUGUGUAAUAGAUGAGAGAAACGGAGAGUCCUAGCAAGUCUUUGGAGAUGGGAGAGUAUGCAAGAAGAAAAAAUUCAUGAUUUAAUAUUCCUUCUUGCCUACUCCUCCCAUUCCAUCUGCUUUCUGCGACUCCUCUCUUUCCUUAUUCUAGACAAAAGCGUGAUCUAAAAUUAAUCAAGGAGCAAGAGGGAAAGGAAAGAGGGUUGCUGGGAGUUACGGGUAUGGGAGGAUUGGACAGUACUGCUUGGUUUUAAUUAACCAAAGUCUGUUCUUUCCAACGCCUCCCAUACCGGUGAUCUCCAGCUGUUUCCUCCCUUUCCCUUGCUUGUCCUGCUUCAGAUCCUUCAGUUUGGUAAGAUCUGUCCUUGUAUGCUUGUCGUUGGUCACAUGAUGAUGGUGGUGAUGCGUGCUCUUCUUUUGUUUUUUAAAAAAGAACUUCAUUUCGUUGACUUGUUAAUCUUGCUUUUACGCGGGAUAUUGUUACAUGUCUUGUAUAAUGAUUUUUAUUAGCCCUUUUUUUAUGCUCAGGUGACAAAAGCGAGUUGUUGGUUAUGGAGUAUCGUUGAAAAGAUUAGAGGAAGUUUUGAUCUGUUGGUAGAUCUGAGUAAAUCAUUUGUCAAUCCAGCUAGAUUUAAUAUUAGCAACUGGUAAAUCAUGUGUUUUGAAAUGACAACUGUGAUAUUCACAACAUAUCUGUUCGCGCCUCUUCGAUUCCGGGGAUGCUGUCUCAGUUAGUUCUAUACUGCAGUGCUUAAUUAGCUCUGAUGUUCCUUGAUUUGUUCUUUGAAUUAGGAAUUUAUUUUGAGCAUCUGUCCACGCGUUUCUUCUAUUAUGGAUGACCCCAACAUGAUUCAUACGAUGGGUGGAUGAAAUCAUAUCAUACGGGUGUGGUCAGCUUUGUUU
rnacentral:sRNA from 1 species